rnacentral:rRNA from 1 species
CCUACGGGAGGCAGCAGUGGGGAAUAUUGCACAAUGGGGGGAACUCUGAUGCAGCAACGCCGCGUGGGUGAAGAAGUACUCCGGUAUGUAAAGCCCUGUCAGCAGGGAAGAAAAUGACGGUACCUGACCAAGAAGCCCCGGCUAACUACGUGCCAGCAGCCGCCGUAAUACGGCGGGCGCAAGCGUUAUCCGGAUUUACUGGGGGUAAAGGGGGCGUAGACGGCAAGGCAUGUCAGGAGUGAAAGCCCGUGGCCCAACCACGGGACUGCGUUGGAAACUGGGUUGCUGGAGUGCAGGAGGGGUAAGCGGAAUUCCUGGUGUAGCGGUGAAAUGCGUAGAUAUUAGGAGGAACACCGGUGGCGAAGGCGGCUUACUGGGCUGUAACUGACGUUGAGGCUCGAAGGCGUGGGGAGCAAACAGGAUUAGAUACCCCUGUAGUC